rnacentral:rRNA from 1 species
CAAGUCGAACGAGAAAUCCCGACUUCGGUUGGGAGAGUAAAGUGGCGCACGGGUGAGUAACGCGUGGGUAACCUGCCCUUGAAUCUGGGAUAACCUCGCGAAAGCGUGGCUAAUACCGGGUAUUGUCCCCUAGACUGUGGUUUUGGGGAUAAAAGGUGACCUCUUCAUGAAAGUUGCCGUUCGAGGAGGGGCUCGCGUACCAUUAGCUUGUUGGUAGGGUAAUGGCCUACCAAGGCUGCGAUGGUUAGCUGGUCUGAGAGGAUGAUCAGCCACACUGGAACUGAAACACGGUCCAGACUCCUACGGGAGGCAGCAGUGAGGAAUUUUGCGCAAUGGGGGAAACCCUGACGCAGCAACGCCGCGUGAGUGAAGAAGGCUUUCGGGUCGUAAAGCUCUGUUAAGUGGGAAAAAAUACUCUCGAUCAAUAGUCGGGGGGACUGAUGGUACCACUAGAGGAAGCACCGGCUAACUCCGUGCCAGCAGCCGCGGUAAUACGGAGGGUGCGAGCGUUGUUCGGAAUUACUGGGCGUAAAGCGCGUGCAGGCGGUUUGGCAAGUCAGGUGUGAAAGCCCUGGGCUUAACCCAGGAAGUGCAUUUGAAACUGCCUUUCUAGAGUAUGGGAGAGGAGAGUGGAAUUCCCAGUGUAGAGGUGAAAUUCGUAGAUAUUGGGAGGAACACCCGUGGCGAAGGCGACUCUCUGGACCAAUACUGACGCUGAGACGCGAAAGCGUGGGGGAGCAAACAGGAUUAGAUACCCUGGUAGUCCACGCCGUAAACGAUGAGAACUAGGUGUAGCGGGUAUUGACCCCUGCUGUGCCGGAGCUAACGCAUUAAGUUCUCCGCCUGGGGAGUACGGCCGCGAGGCUAAAACUCAAAGGAAUUGACGGGGGCCCGCACAAGCGGUGGAGCAUGUGGUUUAAUUCGACGCAACGCGAAGAACCUUACCUGGGUUUGACAU